AAGUCGUGGUGUGGGCAUUGGUUAGUGUAGCUUCUAAACCGUUCCCAAGCUUCACAAAAGCUCUCGUUAUUGUGCUGCGUGAAACUUGAGAUCUGAUUCCUGAGCUU
rnacentral:snoRNA from 1 species